rnacentral:rRNA from 1 species
GACGAACGCUGGCGGCGUGCUUAACACAUGCAAGUCGAACGGAAAGGCCCUGCUUUUGUGGGGUGCUCGAGUGGCGAACGGGUGAGUAACACGUGAGUAACCUGCCCUUGACUUUGUGAUAACUUCAGGAAACUGGGGCUAAUACCGGAUAUGAGCUCCUGCUCCAUGGUGGGGGUUGGAAAGUUUCGGCGGUUGGGGAUGGACUCGAGGCUUAUCAGCUUGUUGGUGGAGUAGUGGCUUACGAAGGCUUUGACGGGUAGCCGGCCUGAGAGGGUGACCGGGCACCAGGGGACUACGGGAGGGACCAGAAUCGUACGGGCGGCAGCAGUCGGGAACCUUGCACAAUGGGCGGAAGCCUGAUGCAGCAACGCCGCGUGCGGGAUGCCGGCCUUCGGGUUGUAAACCACUUUCGCCUGUGACGAAGCGUGCGUGACGGUAAUGGGUAAAGAAGCACCGGCUAACUACGUG